rnacentral:rRNA from 1 species
AAUGGGCGAAAGCCUGAUGCAGCGACGCCGCGUGCGGGAAGAAGGCCUUCGGGUUGUAAACCGCUUUCAACAGGGAAGAAGGAAUGAGGGCUAAUACCCCUCUGCCUUGACGGUACCUGUAGAAGAAGCUCCGGCUAAUUUCGUGCCAGCAGCCGCGGUAAUACGAAAGGAGCAAGCGUUGUUCGGAUUUACUGGGCGUAAAGCGAGCGUAGGUGGUUUGUUAAGUCGGGUGUGAAAUCCCAGGGCUCAACCCUGGAACUGCACUCGAUACUGGCAGGCUAGAGUUCGGGAGGGGGAAGCGGAAUUCCGUGUGUAGCAGUGAAAUGCGUAGAUAUACGGAGGAACACCUGAGGCGAAGGCGGCUUCCUGGACCGAUACUGACACUGAGGCUCGAAAGCGUGGGUAGCAAA